rnacentral:rRNA from 1 species
AGAGGAGCCGGUUCCUUCCCCACCAUUCCCGUACCUUUGUUUCCUCUUCCCCUAGCUAGUCCCGAGUCCUGACCUACCAAUCUCGACCUACAUCCCUACUCUUCCACCGCGUGGGCGCGUGGCCUACAAGCCGCCGCCGUGGCCAUAGCUCACGGCCGCCGGCUGACGCCCCCCUCAAACCCCUCGGCCUUCGCCGGCUUCGCCGUUCCUGUUCAUGCUCAUCGCGUCCCUGCUGUCCCGGCCCCGUCCGCAACCUUUGGCCAUCGGAUUUUGAGGUAGUGUACUGAUGAAGACAGAGAUUGAGGAGGAAGGCACCAGAGGGUCCUGGACUGAGGAGGACAAAUCCCUUUGUGCUUCUGUGCUGGGCUUAGAUGCCUUCACAUAUCUGACAAAAGGUGGAGGUGCCAUAUCUGAAAAUCUCGUAGCAGCGUCUGGGUUGGUGGGCUUGCAAAAUAAACUCCAGGACCUGGUUGAAGCUGAUGGUAAAAGCCUUUGUUGGAACUACGCCAUCUUCUGGCAACUCUCCCACACCAAAUCUGGUGAACUUGUCCUUGGUUGGGGUGACGGAUCUUGCCGUGAACCCCAUGAUAAUGAGAUGAACUCGACUACUCGUGGUGAUAUUCAUGAUGCAUCUUCACUGAGCCAACAAAGGAUGCGUAAGCGAGUGUUAGAGCGACUGCAUACAGCAUUUGCUGGGGCUGAGGAGGAGGAUGAUGCUCUCAGAAUUGACCAGGUGACUGACACUGAGUUAUUCUUCCUAGCAUCCAUGUAUUUUGCAUUUCCACGUCAUGUAGGUGGCCCUGGGCAAGUGUUUGCAACAGGUGCACCCCUUUGGAUUCCUAACAAUCCGCACAAGGUUUCCCCCUCAAAUUAUUGCUAUCGUGGAUUCCUUGCAAGUGCAGCAGGAUUUAGGACUAUUGUUCUACUGCCAUUUGAAGCUGGUGUACUUGAGUUAGGCUCAAUGCAGAAUGUGCUUGAGAGUGCUGAAGCUCUGGAAACCAUAAGGUCUGUGUUUCUAGGGGCAAGCAGUAAGAAGGCAGCAUCUGGGAAGCAUGAUGAGAAUGGUUCUGCUCAAAUAUCACCCGGUUUGGCUAAGAUUUUUGGGAAGGAUUUGAAUCUGAGCCGACCUUUAGUCAACACGGGAGCACUUCCAUUAAAAAUGAAUGAAAGGUCAUGGGAUAUGCAGAAGAAUUGUGGUGGUGAGAGCCUGUUGCUCCCCAAUGUCCGGAAAGGUUUGCAGAACUUCACAUGGAGUCAGGCUCGAGGCCUGAAUUCUCAUCACCAGAAAUUUGGCAAUGGUAUUCUAGUUGUGAAAAGUGAGACUUCACAACGUAGCAAUGGAGCUGCGCAUAGCCCUGGAUUGAGCCCAUUUCAGCUCCAGAAUUCACAGCAGAUACUGACACAACCACCACCUCAGUCACAGACACCGAGGCAUAUAGAUUUUAGCGUAGGGUCUAGUUCAAAAUCUGGUGUUUUGACUUCACAAGCAGCUCUGUUGGGUGGGGAAAAUGGCAGUGUCGAUGGUUUGUGUAAGGAGCAAGUGGCCCCUACAAUGGAGGGCCAGCAACCAAGAAAGAGGGGAAGAAAACCAGCAAACGGGAGGGUAGAGGCACUUAACCAUGUUGAGGCUGAGCGCCAAAGGAGGGAAAAACUCAACCAGAGGUUCUAUGCACUGAGAGCUGUUGUUCCCAAUAUCUCAAAAAUGGACAAAGCAUCGCUCCUGGGAGAUGCCAUAACGCACAUCACUGAUCUCCAGAAGAAGCUCAAAGAGAUGGAGUCGGAAAGAGACAUGUUCUUGGAGUCUGGUAUGGUAGACCGCAGGGUCCAAACACCUAGGCCAGAAGUAGAUAUCCAGGUGGUGCAAGAUGAGGUUCUUGUUCGUGUAAUGUCACCUAUGGACAACUAUCCGAUAAAUAAUGUGUUCCAAGCUUUUGAAGAGGCAGAAGUCAAAGUUGGUGAAUCAAAGAUCGCAUCCAACAAUGGGAAAGUUAUGCAUUCCUUUGUUAUCAAGUCCCCUGGCUCUGAACAGCAAACAAGAGAGAAAUUGAUUGCUGCUAUGUCUCGUGCAAUGAACUCCAUGUAGAAUUAUAACUUGAUGCAUUAGAGGGCAGAUCGUUUUUCUAGUUGCGAACAGGUAGCAGUGGUAGACUCCCAGUGUCCAUGUAAUUGCUACAUGACCACAGAAAGCUCAGGUUCUGACUUCGCAAAAUAAUCUGUAUGUGCAAAUUACUGCCGUAAAUCUUUAACAGUCUGUCCUGUGGUCAGUUACUCAGUUCAGUUUUGAUGUUUCUUAGAUGGAGAUUAUAGUUACAAUGUAUUUUAGCUAUUUAUUAUGAAUCAAUAUAAACGAUGCUUAGCUCCAUGGAGGAAGAGGGAAAAAAACAUCAAUUUAGUUUGAGAGAUUCCAGCCCAGUAUGCUGAAGGUGAUCGGAGUGGUGCAUUUUCCCAAGCAAAGCUACACAAUUGUGCAUUUUCCUUGUCUUGUUAAACCACCAGGUAUGGAGCUUAUGUUCAUGCUUUCUUCCACCGAGGCUUCAGUAACACUACUAUUGUACGCAUUUCGCUUGGUGGGCAGAACUGAAUAUGUGGAUUGAUCAGGUGCUAGAGGUGAGGUCUCAUCACUUUGUUUGUUCUAUUUCGCUUAAAGAACCGUGAAUAGAUAUGUGGAUUAUCAGCAACCAAGCAUCUCAUUCUUCAGGACUGGUGAAAAGUAUUUAUGCAUGGUUUGCUUUAUUUCUAUUAGUAUUAGUGUAUUAGAAGCCAGUAUGCCUAUAACUUACACUCACAUAUUGGAUCGGCAUCUAUCAUCAUAGUCGAUCCUGUAUCCCCACAUUAGAUGAAACCAACUCAACACAAGAUACGAAUUAGGUUUUGUAUAUGGUGAACUCCGAUAUGCCUUUCGAGACCAAGAUCAAGCAAUCAGAUCCUUCCCUUUAAUUACCAGUGUACGUACAUGGUGCUGUCGUGCUCUGUUCUUAGAUUACAAGCAACUUAGUUUGUAUUUUAACCUUCAUUUCAUGUCACCAUAUAUCUAUAUGUGCAUCAAUUCCUAUUAUUUUAUUAAAAAAAUGAGGGGUGGCAGCAGCCCAAUG